CCUACGGGGGGCAGCAGUAGGGAAUAUUGCUCAAUGGGGGAAACCCUGAAGCAGCAACGCCGCGUGGAGGAUGAAGGUUUUCGGAUUGUAAACUCCUUUUGUUAGAGAAGAUAAUGACGGUAUCUAACGAAUAAGCACCGGCUAACUCCGUGCCAGCAGCCGCGGUAAUACGGAGGGUGCAAGCGUUACUCGGAAUCAAUGGGCGUAAAGAGCGCGUAGGCGGGAUAGCAAGUCAGAUGUGAAAUCCUAGGGCUUAACCAUAGAACUGCAUUUGAAACUGUUAUUCUAGAGUAUGGGAGAGGUAAGUGGAAUUCUUGGUGUAGGGGUGAAAUCCGUAGAGAUCAAGAGGAAUACUCAUUGCGAAGGCGACCUGCUAGAACAUAACUGACGCUGAUGCGCGAAAGCGUGGGGAGCAAACAAGAUUAGAUACCCUGGUAGUC
rnacentral:rRNA from 1 species